AACAACACUCAACCCGCUGAGCCACACCUGUCAGGGACACAUAUGCAAUUGAGGCCAGAUCAGCUUUGAUGUCUUUCCUGAUGGAUGGGACAAGAGGUAUUGCCUGGGACAUGUGGAAAAUGACGGCUAUAAGACCAUUUAUUUCUUUGGAGACAAAACCAUGCCAGGUGGAAACGACCACGAGAUCUUCACAACCCGAGGACAGUGGGCUACACGGUGACGGCACCUGAGGACACGCAGGAUCUGUGAAGAGCUCUUCCCCUAAUGUCCCUUGCCGUGGGAGGGAGAGAGGCCCAGCUGACAAGUCUGAGAGGGUCAUUCGGUGACCAAACCCCGAUCCCUCCCUCACAUGCCCACAGGACACUUACAGCCAUCCAACCCAGGACAGAAAUUUUCAAACACUUCCUGAAAUGAAGCACCUGCGGAGUGUCAGCUUGGUGGCAGUUUUGAACCAAGGGCACCAUGGCCAUCAGGUGGUAUUAAGCUAAGUGACCAUGUGCACUGUUUCCCCACCUCACUUCCUGUUGGACAGCCACAGACCUCAGCAUGGCCUGGUUCACAGGUUGGCUCACUAGUCACUACACAGGGGGCAGCUGGUUCUCUGACCAUGGAGACGGGAGGAAAUAGGUACCGACAGGCCCCAGGGAGAACUGAACAGACGUGCAGCCUUUCCCGGCCCUUCCCCUGGGUGCAUGCUCUAAACCCAGGUUCAGAGAGACUAACUUAGGGUGUCACACCUCACCAAAAGAACCCUCUUACUGGCCUGGAUUCCCCGGGCCUUACUUAACCUCAGGUUUCUCGGGGACCCGGUGAACGCCUCACUCAUUAACAGAGCUGAAGCUGCACUGUUUCUCUGCAGAUCUUUAAAAAAAGAAGUGUGUUGACCCCGGCCCUGACCCAGCCUCUGACCUCAGGGCUGGGAGCAGCCAUGGUGGGGCCUAGGACCCUCACUCCUCCCUUCUGGGUUCUGCAAGCUCCUCCUGAAACUGGAAGGCAUCGCCAGGCCCUUGUCCCCAACAGGGUGGAAGACCGCUUUCCAUGGCAAUGGUUAACAUGUCCCUUUUUAGCAUCGGAAAUGUCAGGACCCACCAGCGCUCCACCACCUGGUGCUGGAGCCCACCAACCCGAAUCCAUGUGCUUUGCACCCCCACACCCCCAUGUUCCCACCAGGUGCUUUCAUCACAGAGGAACCUGGUUCUCCCCCAAACCCGGCCCUGGGCUUGUCAGUUCUGGAUCAGUCCACCCACCACUCCGCACCACAUGGUUGAUGUCUCUGGGCAGUUCUCAGCACAGGCCACCCCAUGGCAUCUUUCCUUGUUGAAGUAUUUUGCAAAUGAUACUGGAAUGAGCUUGCAAAUGAAAAGUAGCAAAUUAAAGUGAUUUUAUUGUUCCUAU